rnacentral:rRNA from 1 species
GACGAACGCUGGCGGCGUGCCUGACACAUGCAAGUCGAGGGGCAUCAAGGUACACGAAAGUGUAUUGUUGGCGACCGGCGGACGGGUGAGUAAUAGGUAGGUAACCUACCUCAUACUGAGGCAUAGCUGGGAGAAAUUCCAGGUAAUUCCUCAUGAGGUUAUAUGACACAUGUGAUAUAAUCAAAGGUAUCGCAAGGUACUGGUAUGAGAUGGGCUUACUGACCAUUAGCUAGUUGGUGAGAUAAGAGCUCACCAAGGCGAAGAUGGUUAGGGGUUUUGAGAGAGAGAUCCCCCACAUUGGAACUGAGAUACGGUCCAGACUCCUACGGGAGGCAGCAGUAGGGAAUAUUGGGCAAUGGGCGGAAGCCUGACCCAGCCAUGCCGCGUGAAGGAAGACGGCCUUAUGGGUUGUAAAACUUCUUUACUAUGCGACUAACUAGAUUUACGAGAUAAUUCUAUAGAAUGUAGCAUAGCAAAAAGCACCGG